rnacentral:ncRNA from 2 species
CGGGGAGGUCGUGACUGGCGAGGGUGGGCUACCACCGGGGAGCGACCGGCACGUGAUGCGAGCGUCGACCGCCUGGGCGCCUCCG